GUUGGUACAGUGUUAGUAGGACCAACACCUGUUAAUAUUAUAGGAAGAAACUUUUUAACACAGAUUGGCUGUACUCUAAAUUUUCCAUUAAGUCCUAUUAAAACUGUACCAGU
rfam:HIV-1 isolate 04CM-1131-03 from Cameroon, complete genome.